rnacentral:rRNA from 1 species
UACGUAGGGUGCGAGCGUUAAUCGGAAUUACUGGGCGUAAAGCGUGCGCAGGCGGUUCGUUGUGUCGGCGGUGAAAGCCCCGGGCUUAACCUGGGAAUGGCCGUCGAAACUGGCGAACUGGAGUGUGGCAGAGGGGGUGGAAUCCGCGUGUAGCAGUGAAAUGCGUAGAGAUGCGGAGGAACACCGAUGGCGAAGGCAGCCCCCUGGGCUGACACUGACGCUCAGGCACGAAAGCGUGGGGAGCAA